GGCUCAGAUUGAACGCUGGCGGCAGGCCUUAACACAUGCAAGUCGAGCGGAUGAAGGGAGCUUGCUCCUGGAUUCAGCGGCGGACGGGUGAGUAAUGCCUAGGAAUCUGCCUGGUAGUGGGGGAUAACGUCCGGAAACGGGCGCUAAUACCGCAUACGUCCUGAGGGAGAAAGUGGGGGAUCUUCGGACCUCACGCUAUCAGAUGAGCCUAGGUCGGAUUAGCUAGUUGGUGGGGUAAAGGCCUACCAAGGCGACGAUCCGUAACUGGUCUGAGAGGAUGAUCAGUCACACUGGAACUGAGACACGGUCCAGACUCCUACGGGAGGCAGCAGUGGGGAAUAUUGGACAAUGGGCGAAAGCCUGAUCCAGCCAUGCCGCGUGUGUGAAGAAGGUCUUCGGAUUGUAAAGCACUUUAAGUUGGGAGGAAGGGCAGUAAGUUAAUACCUUGCUGUUUUGACGUUACCAACAGAAUAAGCACCGGCUAACUUCGUGCCAGCAGCCGCGGUAAUACGAAGGGUGCAAGCGUUAAUCGGAAUUACUGGGCGUAAAGCGCGCGUAGGUGGUUCAGCAAGUUGGAUGUGAAAUCCCCGGGCUCAACCUGGGAACUGCAUCCAAAACUACUGAGCUAGAGUACGGUAGAGGGUGGUGGAAUUUCCUGUGUAGCGGUGAAAUGCGUAGAUAUAGGAAGGAACACCAGUGGCGAAGGCGACCACCUGGACUGAUACUGACACUGAGGUGCGAAAGCGUGGGGAGCAAACAGGAUUAGAUACCCUGGUAGUCCACGCCGUAAACGAUGUCGACUAGCCGUUGGGAUCCUUGAGAUCUUAGUGGCGCAGCUAACGCGAUAAGUCGACC
rnacentral:rRNA from 1 species